UGAAUUUAUUCCGGUUUAUGAAGAAUUAAAUCUACGGAUUUAAUUUAGAAUUUAUUCUAGCUAAGAAAGGAAGCAGAUAUCGAGUAGUUUUAUAAACACGCGAUAUUAACAAAACCCGGUAGUUGGAUUUUAUUUAAAAAAAAGAUGCAAUACAAUAUUACAGAUAUAGAAAUUCCAAGACAAGAAUUAUUGCUUCUGUUAUACUUCACUUUACAAACCCCUAUUUUUCUAUCUAUCUACCAACAUUAAAAAAAAAAGGAAUAGUGUAUGUGUGUGAAGAAAAUCUGCAGAUAUCCCUUAAGCAUGCUCAAGCAUGCUCAGCCAUCUAUUGACAUUUUUUCUUUGACUCCAGCUCCACGCCUUUGAAAUAUUUUUCUUUGACUCCAGCUCCAGCAGCAUAUUUGCAAAAUUUUCACACCCGAACACCUUCAUGUGGUUUCAGAUUUCAGCAGCUAUUAAUCCUCAUCUCAU
rnacentral:lncRNA from 1 species